UGGGGUUGCUAGGUAACGGGCGGAACUCUGCUGGGGUUGCUAGGUAACGGGCGGAACUCUGCUGGGGUUGCCAGGUAACAGGCAGUGCCCGCUGAUUUGUUAUGUUGCACUCUGGAGGUUCUUGAAAUGGCUAAUUUUCAAGACAGUAAAAAAUAUUAACUUAUAGCCAAAAAACGUCUGAAUGGUGUUUAUUUCAGGAGCAGUACAGACUUAAAUCGAAGCAAAAAAACGUGCAAACUCUGAAUUUUACAUAACACAUCCCCCCUUUUGAGUCAAGCUCCUAUAUGUCAUUGGAAAGUUACCUGUAAUUUGGGUUUGUCUUAUUUUAGGUGAACUAAGAUAUUUGAACAAGAACGUAGAC